UACGAAGGGAGCGAGCGUUAUUCGGAAUCACUGGGCUUAAAGCGUGCGUAGGCGGAAAUGUAAGUCAGAAGUGAAAGCCCAGGGCUCAACCCUGGAACUGCUUUUGAGACUGCAAUUCUAGAAUUCGGUAGAGGCUAGUGGAAUGUCCAGUGUAGAGGUGAAAUUCGCAGAUAUUGGACGGAACACCAGUGGCGAAGGCGACUAGCUGGGCCGAUAUUGACGCUGAGGCACGAAAGCGUGGGUAGCAAACAGG
rnacentral:rRNA from 1 species